CCAUCUUUUCAUUUUCUUGAUAGUUUCCUUUGCUGUGCAGAAGCUGUUCAGUUUGAUGCAGUCCCAUUUGUUUAUUUUUUCUAUUGUUUCACUUGCCUGGUUGGAUGUGGCACUUGAAAAUAUGCUGCUAAGACUGAGUGCUGGAAGUCAGUGAAAUAUUGUGACCCCAUUAUGGAGCACCAGACAUCCAAGUUCAAAUUCUGGAUCUGCCACUUGCCAAGGGGAAGGUUGUCAUGUUUUCUGAACUCUCUCAGCCUCAAAGUUGUUCCACAGAUAAAAUCUAUAUAAGUAUGAUUAUACAUAUUGCCACAAGAUCAAAGUCAAUGCCACCAAGAUUCUACUUCCCUUUUGUCUACACGAUGCGGGUUGAAUGCCUAAAAUUGGAAUUUAAGGUCCUUGUAGUCCAAUUCCAACGUGACUUCCUCAGCUUCAACUCUUAAGGGAAUCCUUCUCUGACUCGAUUUGGAUACUCAAACCAACGUACUACAAUAUGGAUGGUUUGCAGAUCACGGCAGCAUCGUAUGCCACGGUGCUGUAACAUCAAUGAAUACAUGGAAUGUCAGAUACUCAGCUAUCAUGUUUUGCAAACACAGAAGUAGUGAAAAUGUUUUACUAAAAAUCUAUGCACAGAACCUAGAAUCUUCAAACCUCUGAGGCAUCUUCCCACAGAGGAAUCUCUUGUAUUUCUAAUCUGGUUCAAACUGCUAUUGUCGCUAAUAUCUGAAUAGAAAUAUUUCACUGAACUAUGAAAAGCAUGUAAAGAGGUAAAAUCUAAAAGGCUUAAAGAAAGAAUACACUUUAAAAUAUAUCAUUUUUGAAAAAAGUAAA
rnacentral:lncRNA from 1 species